rnacentral:rRNA from 1 species
CCUACGGGAGGCUGCAGUGGGGAAUAUUGGACAAUGGGGGCAACCCUGAUCCAGCCAUGCCGCGUGUGUGAAGAAGGCCCUCGGGUUGUAAAGCACUUUCAGUGAGGAAGAACGCCUGGUGGUUAAUACCCAUCAGGAAAGACAUCACUCACAGAAGAAGCACCGGCUAACUCCGUGCCAGCAGCCGCGGUAAUACGGAGGGUGCGAGCGUUAAUCGGAAUUACUGGGCGUAAAGCGCGCGUAGGUGGCUUGAUAAGCCGGUUGUGAAAGCCCCGGGCUCAACCUGGGAACGGCAUCCGGAACUGUCAAGCUAGAGUGCAAGAGAGGAAGGUAGAAUUCCCGGUGUAGCGGUGAAAUGCGUAGAGAGCGGGAGGAAUACCAGUGGCGAAGGCGGCCUUCUGGACUGACACUGACACUGAGGUGCGAAAGCGUGGGUAGCAAACAGGAUUAGAUACCCUGGUAGUC